rnacentral:rRNA from 1 species
GCCCAGACUCCUACGGGAGGCAGCAGUGGGGGAUAUUGCACAAUGGGGGGAACCCUGAUGCAGCGACGCCGCGUGAGUGAAGAAGUAUUUCGGUAUGUAAAGCUCUAUCAGCAGGGAAGAAAGAGACGAAAGUCUUGUGACAGUACCUGACUAAGAAGCCCCGGCUAACUACGUGCCAGCAGCCGCGGUAAUACGUAGGGGGCAAGCGUUAUCCGGAAUUAUUGGGUGUAAAGGGUGCGUAGACGGGAUAACAAGUUGGUUGUGAAACCCCUCGGCUCAACUGAGGAACUGCAACCAAAACUAUUAUUCUUGAGUGCAGGAGAGGAAAGUGGAAUUCCUAGUGGAGCGGUGAAAUGCGUAGAUAUUAGGAAGAACACCGGUGGCGAAGGCGACUUUCUGGACUGUAACUGACGUUGAGGCACGAAAGUGUGGGGAGCAAACAGGAUUAGAUACCCCAGUAC